UACGGAGGGUGCGAGCGUUGUCCGGAAUCACUGGGCGUCAAGGGCGCGUAGGCGGCCACCGCAAGUCGACUGUGAAAUCUCCGGGCUUAACCCGGAACGGUCAGCCGAUACUGCGGGGCUAGAGUGCAGAAGGGGCAACUGGAAUUCUCGGUGUAGCGGUGAAAUGCGUAGAUAUCGAGAGGAACACCUGCGGCGAAGGCGGGUUGCUGGGCUGACACUGACGCUGAUGCGCGAAAGCUAGGGGAGCGAACGGG
rnacentral:rRNA from 1 species